rnacentral:rRNA from 1 species
UACGGGGGGAGCAAGCGUUGUUCGGAUUUACUGGGCGUAAAGGGCGCGUAGGCGGUCGUGACAAGUCACUUGUGAAAUCUCCGGGCUUAACUCGGAACGGUCAAGUGAUACUGUCGGACUAGAGUACAGAAGGGGCAACUGGAAUUCUCGGUGUAGCGGUGAAAUGCGUAGAGAUCGGGAGGAACACCAGAGGCGAAGGCGGCGACCUGGACAAGUACUGACACUCAACUACGAAAGCGUGGGGAGCAAACAGG